rnacentral:rRNA from 1 species
AGAGUUUGAUCCUGGCUCAGAACGAACGCUGGCGGCGUGGAUUAGGCAUGCAAGUCGAACGCGAAAGUUCCCUUCGGGGAACGAGUAGAGUGGCGGAUGGGUGAGUAACACAUGGGUAAUUUGCCUUAAACCUGGGGAUAACCAGCCGAAAGGCUGGCUAAUACCGAAUGUGGUCACCGAAGGGCAUCCUUUGGUGAUUAAAGGUGGGGACCUUUCGAGGCCUACCGGUUUUUGAUGAUCCCGUGUCCUAUUAGCUUGUUGGUAGGGUAAUGGCCUACCAAGGCUUUGAUGGGUAGCCGGACUGAGAGGUUGGCCGGCCGCACUGGGACUGAGACACUGCCCAGACUCCUACGGGAGGCUGCAGUCGAGAAUCUUUCGCAAUGGGCGCAAGCCUGACGGAGCGACGCCGCGUGGACGAUGAAGGCCUUCGGGUUGUAAAGUCCUGUCACGAGGGAUGAACCGCAAAUGUAUAAAUAAUGCAUUUGUUUGACAGUACCUCGAAAGGAAGCUCCGGCUAACUCCGUGCCAGCAGCCGCGGUAAUACGGGGGGAGCAAGCGUUGUUCGGAUUUACUGGGCGUAAAGGGCGUCUAGGCGGUUUGGGAAGUCGGAUGUGAAAGCCCUCGGCUUAACCGAGGAAUUGCAUUUGAAACUUUCAGACUUGAGUACAGCAAAGGUAAGCGGAAUUCUGAGUGUAGCGGUGGAAUGCGUAGAUAUUCAGAAGAACACCAGUGGCGAAGGCGGCUUACUCGGCUGUUACUGACGCUGAAGCGCGAAAGCCAGGGGAGCGAACGGGAUUAGAUACCCCGGUAGUCCUGGCUGUAAACGAUGUGCACUUGGUGUGGGAGGUAUCGACCCCUUCUGUGCCGUAGUUAACGCGAUAAGUGCACCGCCUGGGGAGUACGGCCGCAAGGCUGAAACUCAAAGGAAUUGACGGGGGCCCGCACAAGCGGUGGAGCAUGUGGUUUAAUUCGAUGCAACGCGAAGAACCUUACCAGGGCUUGACAUGUACCUGACCGUCUGAGAAAUCAGGCUUUCCUUCGGGACAGGUACACAGGUGCUGCAUGGCUGUCGUCAGCUCGUGUCGUGAGAUGUUGGGUUAAGUCCCGCAACGAGCGCAACCCCUGCUGUCUGUUACCAGCAUUUAAGGUGGGGAAACUGACAGGACUGCCGGUGUUAAACCGGAGGAAGGUGGGGAUGACGUCAAGUCAGUAUGGCCCUUACGUCCUGGGCUACACACGUGCUACAAUGGUUGGGACAGAGGGUAGCCAAGCCGCGAGGUGGAGCAAAUCCCUUAAAACCCGGCCCCAGUUCGGAUUGGAGUCUGCAACUCGACUUCAUGAAGUUGGAAUCGCUAGUAAUGGCGUAUCAGCUACGACGCCGUGAAUACGUUCCCGGGCCUUGUACACACCGCCCGUCACAUCACAAAAGUUGGCUGUACCAGAAGUCGUAGAUCUAACCCUUCGGGGAAGCAUACGCCGAAGGUAUGGUUGAUGAUUGGGAUGAAGUCGUAACAAGGUA